rfam:Gorilla gorilla gorilla genomic chromosome, chr6, whole genome shotgun sequence
GCUGGGCAUGGUGGUGCAUGCUUGUAGUUCCAGCUACUAGGGAGGCUGAGGUGGGAGGAUCACUUAAGCCCAAGAGGUCGAGGCUGCGGUGAGCUGCGAUCACUUCACUGCACUCCAGCCUGGGUNNNNNNNNNNACCCAGGCUGGAGUGCAGUGAAGUGAUCGCAGCUCACCGCAGCCUCGACCUCUUGGGCUUAAGUGAUCCUCCCACCUCAG